GCCUUGGCGGCUGCCUUAACAUGCAAGUCGAACGGUAACAGGGAGCUUGCUCCGCUGACGAGUGGCGAACGGGUGAGUAAUACAUCGGAACGUGCCCAGUAAUGGGGGAUAGCUCGGCGAAAGCCGGAUUAAUACCGCAUACGCCCUGAGGGGGAAAGUGGGGGACCGCAAGGCCUCACGUUAUUGGAGCGGCCGAUGGCUGAUUAGCUAGUUGGUAGGGUAAAGGCCUACCAAGGCGACGAUCAGUAGCUGGUCUGAGAGGACGAUCAGCCACACUGGGACUGAGACACGGCCCAGACUCCUACGGGAGGCAGCAGUGGGGAAUUUUGGACAAUGGGGGAAACCCUGAUCCAGCAAUGCCGCGUGUGCGAAGAAGGCCUUCGGGUUGUAAAGCACUUUUGUCAGGGAAGAAAUCCUUUGGGCUAAUACCCUAGGGGGAUGACGGUACCUGAAGAAUAAGCACCGGCUAACUACGUGCCAGCAGCCGCGGUAAUACGUAGGGUGCAAGCGUUAAUCGGAAUUACUGGGCGUAAAGCGUGCGCAGGCGGUUGUGUAAGACAGGUGUGAAAUCCCCGGGCUUAACCUGGGAAUUGCAUUUGUGACUGCACGA
rnacentral:rRNA from 1 species